GACGGGACCGCACAGCGGUGAUGAUGUGGUUUAAUUCGAUGCAACGCGAAAACCUUACCACCUUUGACAUGUACGGAAUCCUUUAGAGAUAGAGGAGUGCUCGAAAGAGAGCCGUAACACAGGUGCUGCAUGGCUGUCGUCAGCUCGUGUCGUGAGAUGUUGGGUUAAGUCCCGCAACGAGCGCAACCCUUGUCAUUAGUUGCUACGAAAGGGCACUCUAAUGAGACUGCCGGUGACAAACCGGAGGAAGGUGGGGAUGACGUCAAGUCCUCAUGGCCCUUAUAGGUGGGGCUACACACGUCAUACAAUGGCUGGUACAAAGGGUUGCCAACCCGCGAGGGGGAGCCAAUCCCAUAAAGCCAGUCGUAGUCCGGAUCGCAGUCUGCAACUCGACUGCGUGAAGUCGGAAUCGCUAGUAAUCGUGGAUCAGCAUGUCACGGUGAAUACGUUCCCGGGUCUU
rnacentral:rRNA from 1 species